rnacentral:rRNA from 1 species
CUAGAUACAAGCGAGCGGCGGACGGGUGAGUAACACGUGGGUAACCUGCCCAAGAGACUGGGAUAACACCUGGAAACAGAUGCUAAUACCGGAUAACAACACUAGACGCAUGUCUAGAGUUUAAAAGAUGGUUCUGCUAUCACUCUUGGAUGGACCUGCGGUGCAUUAGCUAGUUGGUAAGGUAACGGCUUACCAAGGCAAUGAUGCAUAGCCGAGUUGAGAGACUGAUCGGCCACAUUGGGACUGAGACACGGCCCAAACUCCUACGGGAGGCAGCAGUAGGGAAUCUUCCACAAUGGACGCAAGUCUGAUGGAGCAACGCCGCGUGAGUGAAGAAGGGUUUCGACUCGUAAAGCUCUGUUGGUAGUGAAGAAAGAUAGAGGURGUAACUGGCCUUUAUUUGACGGUAAUUACUUAGAAAGUCACGGCUAACUACGUGCCAGCAGCCGCGGUAAUACGUAGGUGGCAAGCGUUGUCCGGAUUUAUUGGGCGUAAAGCGAGUGCAGGCGGUUCAAUAAGUCUGAUGUGAAAGCCUUCGGCUCAACCGGAGAAUUGCAUCAGAAACUGUUGAACUUGAGUGCAGAAGAGGAGAGUGGAACUCCAUGUGUAGCGGUGGAAUGCGUAGAUAUAUGGAAGAACACCAGUGGCGAAGGCGGCUCUCUGGUCUGCAACUGACGCUGAGGCUCGAAAGCAUGGGUAGCGAACAGGAUUAGAUACCCUGGUAGUCCAUGCCGUAAACGAUGAGUGCUAAGUGUUGGGAGGUUUCCGCCUCUCAGUGCUGCAGCUAACGCAUUAAGCACUCCGCCUGGGGAGUACGACCGCAAGGUUGAAACUCAAAGGAAUUGACGGGGGCCCGCACAAGCGGUGGAGCAUGUGGUUUAAUUCGAAGCAACGCGAAGAACCUUACCAGGUCUUGACAUCCAGUGCAAGCCUAAGAGAUUAGGAGUUCCCUUCGGGGACGCUGAGACAGGUGGUGCAUGGCUGUCGUCAGCUCGUGUCGUGAGAUGUUGGGUUAAGUCCCGCAACGAGCGCAACCCUUGUCAUUAGUUGCCAUCAUUAAGUUGGGCACUCUAAUGAGACUGCCGGUGACAAACCGGAGGAAAGGUGGGGAUGACGUCAAGUCAUCAUGCCCCUUAUGACCUGGGCUACACACGUGCUACAAUGGACGGUACAACGAGAAGCGAACCUGCGAAGGCAAGCGGAUCUCUGAAAGCCGUUCUCAGUUCGGACUGUAGGCUGCAACUCGCCUACACGAAGCUGGAAUCGCUAGUAAUCGCGGAUCAG